rnacentral:tRNA from 1 species
GGGGAUUUAGCUCAGCGGUAGAGCAUUUGCCUAGCAAGCGCAAGGCCCUGGGUUCGGUCCCCAGUUCCG